rnacentral:rRNA from 1 species
GAUGAACGCUGGCGGCGUGCCUAAUACAUGCAAGUCGAGCGAAUGGAUUAAGAGCUUGCUCUUAUGAAGUUAGCGGCGGACGGGUGAGUAACACGUGGGUAACCUGCCCAUAAGACUGGGAUAACUCCGGGAAACCGGGGCUAAUACCGGAUAACAUUUUGAACCGCAUGGUUCGAAAUUGAAAGGCGGCUUCGGCUGUCACUUAUGGAUGGACCCGCGUCGCAUUAGCUAGUUGGUGAGGUAACGGCUCACCAAGGCAACGAUGCGUAGCCGACCUGAGAGGGUGAUCGGCCAAACGGGGACUGAGACACGGCCCAGACUCCUACGGGAGGCAGCAGUAGGGAAUCAUCCGCAAUGGACGAAAGUCUGACGGAGCAACGCCGCGUGAGUGAUGAAGGCUUUCGGGUCGUAAAACUCUGUUGUUAGGGAAGAACAAGUGCUAGUUGAAUAAGCUGGCACCUUGACGGUACCUAACCAGAAAGCCACGGCUAACUACGUGCCAGCCGCCGCAGUAA